CACGCCAUUCUCCUGCCUCAGCCUCCCGAGUAGCUGGGACUACAGCUGAUGGCCUGGCUUCUUAUUCCACAUUCCCAAUACCAAGUCCAUAGCCUGAUGAGCCCAUAUGCUGCACCUUCCCUAGGAUCACAAUAGAAUUAUCCCUGCUCCUAUCUAAGACUAAUCACUCCACUUCAAGUUCCAACCUAUCUUGCCAACACACAGAUUUAGAUUCUGGAAUUAUGAUUUCACUGUCCCGUGUCUUCAGUUUUAUCCUUUUUCAUGAAUUAUACCCAUUAACAUAAAAAAAGUGCUAUAAUGACUCCAAACUUGAAACCAGUAUUUUUUAGCCCCUUGUCCUCAACUUUCUGUCAACUGCCUUUUUUCUGUUCCCCUUUACAGCAAAGCCCCUUGAAAGUGAAAUCUAUAUCCACUCUUUUCCCUCCCUCAGUUUUUUUUUUUUUUUAAACCUAUUAGGUUUUCAUCUCCACUGAUCUGUUGAAUCUGGUCUUGUCUAAGUUCUCAACAAUUUUCAUUUUGACAAAUCCUGAGGCCAGUUCCUGUCCUUUUCUUAUUGUAUUCAGAGCAGCAUUUGUCCCUUGACCUAAUUCUUUAUUUUUUUCCCCCAGUCUCUCAUUUCUUCUUCUGAGAGACCACAUUUUUUUUUGGUAAGGAGAUUGCCUGAUCUUAUUAAAAGUGCUAUAGGACUUGAUCUCUCUCCUCUUCACUUCUCUAUCUUUUCUCUAUAGGUGACUUUACUCAGUUCCUAGACUUUAAUCUCUAUCUAUAUGCUGUGAUUUUUCCAUUUUAUAUCUAUAGCUCUGACUUUGAGUUCUAGAUUCACAAUCAUCUACCUGCUUGAUACAGCCACUUAGUGGUCUACUAGAUACAGUCAAUUUAACCUGCUCCAGCCACCCCUGUCAAAAAAACUUUCUCUCCACUAACAAACCCUCUCCUUCCCUACACUUCUCCAUCUCAAUUUAUAAGACUACCAUUUAUUUGGUGGCCAAGGCAAAAACCUAGGUUUCAUCCUUAAUUUCUACCCUUCCAUCACCAAUCAUCAGCAACCUCUGUUAAUUCUACCUCCAGAUUAUGUGCCAAAUCCACUGCUCUUUAUCUUAUUAUUGCCUCCCAUCUCUCCAAUCUUAUCUCUAACAUUUUCUUUUUGUUUUUUUUGUAAACG
rnacentral:lncRNA from 10 species